rnacentral:ncRNA from 1 species
AGUUGGCCUACUGCACAGGAACGGGUUUCCCACGCAGCGCCAAGGGGGAUGAGCCUCGCCAGCAGCGGCCAAGGCCGGAAAGGCGAAACACACAGCGUCGGGUAGAGUUUGGUAGGGUCCUCGGAUCUCGAAGAAGUCAGGCCCA